UGCGAGUCGAGAGCUUUCGGAGCUCGGCAUACUGCUCAGUAACACGUGGGUAACCUGCCCUGUGCUGGGGGAUAACCUCGGGAAACUGAGAACAAUACCCCAUAGUCCACUACGCCUGGAACGGUGAGUGGAUGAAAGCCCCGGCGGCACAGGAUGGGCCUGCGGCGUAUCAGGUAGUAGGGGGUGUAAAGUACCCUCUAGCCUUCGACGCGUACGGGUUGUGAGAGCAAUAGCCCGGAGAUGGAUUCUGAGACACGAAUCCAGGUCCUACGGGACGCAGCAGUCGCGAAACCUUGACAAUGCGGGAAACCGUGAUCAGGGGACUCCAAGUGCCAGGAGUAAGAUCCUGUGCUUUUCUUUUCUCUUCAAAGGAUUUGGAAUAAGAGGUGGGUAAGGACGGUGCCAGCCGCCGCGGUAAUACCGGCGCCUCGAGUGGUAGUCGAUUUUAUUGGGCCUAAAACGUCCGUCGCCGGUCUGGUGCAUUCGUGGGUAAAUCAACCCGCUCAACGGGUUGAAUUCUGCGAGCACGGCCAGACUAGGGACCGGGAGAGGUGUGGGGUACGCUCGGGGUAGGGGUAAAAUCCUGUCAUCCCGAGCGGACCACCUGUUGCGAAGGCUCCACACUAGAACGGAUCCGACGGUCAGGGACGAAGCCUAGGGGCACGAACCGGAUUAGAUACCCGGGUAGUCCUAGGUGUAAACGCUGUGGACUUGGUGUUGGGAGCUCCCAGAGGGCUCUCAGUGCCGUAGCGAAGGUGAUAAGUCCACUGCCUGGGGAGUACGGUCGCAAGGCUGAAACUUAAAGGAAUUGGCGGGGGAACACCGCAACCUGAGGAUUGUGCGGUUUAAUUGGAUUCAACGCCGGG
rnacentral:rRNA from 1 species